AUUGAACGCUGGCGGCAGGCCUAACACAUGCAAGUCGAACGGUAGCACAGAGGAGCUUGCUCCUUGGGUGACGAGUGGCGGACGGGUGAGUAAUGUCUGGGAAACUGCCCAAUGGAGGGGGAUAACUACUGGAAACGGUAGCUAAUACCGCAUAACGUCGCAAGACCAAAGAGGGGGACCUUCGGGCCUCUUGCCAUCGGAUGUGCCCAGAUGGGAUUAGCUAGUGGGUGGGGUAACGGCUCACCUAGGCGACGAUCCCUAGCUGGUGUGAGAGGAUGACCAGCCACACUGGAACUGAGACACGGUCCAGACUCCUACGGGAGGCAGCAGUGGGGAAUAUUGCACAAUGGGCGCAAGCCUGAUGCAGCCAUGCCGCGUGUAUGAAGAAGGCCUUCGGGUUGUAAAGUACUUUCAGCGAGGAGGAAGGCGUUGUGGUUAAUAACCGCAGCGAUUGACGUUACUCGCAGAAGAAGCACCGGCUAACUCCGUGCCAGCAGCCGCCGUAA
rnacentral:rRNA from 1 species